rnacentral:rRNA from 1 species
UACGUAGGGUGCAAGCGUUGUCCGGAAUUAUUGGGCGUAAAGAGCUCGUAGGCGGCUUGUCACGUCGGGUGUGAAAGCCCGGGGCUUAACCCCGGGUCUGCAUUCGAUACGGGCUGGCUAGAGUGUGGUAGGGGAGAGCGGAAUUCCUGGUGUAGCGGUGAAAUGCGUAGAUAUCGGGAGGAACACCAGUGGCGAAGGCGACUUCCUGGCCUGUUCUUGACGCUGAGGCGCGAAAGCUAGGGUAGCAAACGGG